GGGAGAUUUCAAAGGCAGUCGAGAAUACAGCGGCUGCGAAGAGCCAACUCUCUACUGCGAAUGAACAAAUCAUCGAAUUGGAGGUACAAGUGAGGUCUCACGAAGAGAGGACAGCUCGGUUGGAGAAGGAACUUGAAGAUACCAGGGCCUGUCGAGCUUCUGACCUGGCUAAGUUCUCCAAAGAGAUCAAAGCAAAAGAGGAUGAAGCUCUAGUGAAGGAAGCUGGCUCUUACGUGAACGCUCAUAGUGAUCUCUUAGUCGAGUUGGUCAAGCGCUAUCCCGAAGAGGACUUCACCUGGCUCGAAAAGCUUGCCCCGGGUGUUGAAGCUGAGGAUGAGGACGAACCA
rnacentral:misc_RNA from 1 species